CAGCUAUUUUCUUCGUGACCGAAAGUCUACGCCAGCAGUAAAAUUAUGCCGCAGCACCUGAAAAGACAUUUCGGGAUGUGGGAAGUACAACAAAAAGUGAGGAAAACCACCCAAGUACAGGGACAGACAUCAGUCCCAUACAAGCUAGCUAAUGUUGCGGCUAACGUUGGUUAGGUGCAGCCCUCCAUCAUCACCGAUUGCUUCUCCUGCCCUUCUGGGCCUGCCUGCCAACACUGCCCGCUAACAAUCUCUGGACUGCUAAAGCUCAGCGAAAAUGUUCGUUACAGGAGUUAAAAAUUCAAACUUCCGAGCCAUGCCUCACACCCAGGCUUAAGGAAGGAUAUUAUCCUGAGACCGCCAACUUUAGUUGUUUUAAUGAUCUGUGCUCCUGCCGGCUGUGGCUUAGCGGGUCUUCCACCAAUCGGAAGGUCGUCGGUUCGAUGCCAGCUUUCCCCAACCCCGCAGACUGAACCCCAGGUUGCUGCCGUGAGCGUGUGUUUGUGAAUGGUUAAUUAGUUUCUUUGAACUGACAUCAGUGUAUGAAUGUGAAUGGGGUAAAUGUGCGCUUUGAGUAGUCGGAAAGACUACUCAAAAGUAAAGA